rnacentral:rRNA from 1 species
AACGAACGCUGGCGGCAGGCCUAACACAUGCAAGUCGAGCGAGCAUUUCGGUGCUAGCGGCGGACGGGUGAGUAACGCGUGGGAACGUGCCCUUUUCUGCGGAAUAGUCCUGGGAAACUGGGGGUAAUACCGCAUACGCCCUUUUGGGGAAAGAUUUAUCGGAGAAGGAUCGGCCCGCGUUGGAUUAGGUAGUUGGUUGGGUAAUGGCCCACCAAGCCGACGAUCCAUAGCUGGUUUGAGAGGAUGAUCAGCCACACUGGGACUGAGACACGGCCCAGACUCCUACGGGAGGCAGCAGUGGGGAAUCUUAGACCAUGGGGGCAACCCUGAUCUAGCCAUGCCGGGUGAGUGAUGAAGGCCUUAGGGUUGUAAAGCUCUUUCAGCUGGGAAGAUAAUGACGGUACCAGCAGAAGAAGCCCCGGCUAACUCCGUG